GAUGAACGCUGGCGGCGUGCCUAAUACAUGCAAGUCGAGCGAACGGACGAGAAGCUUGCUUCUCUGAUGUUAGCGGCGGACGGGUGAGUAAGACGUGGAUAAGCUACCUAUAAGACUGGGAUAACUUCGGGAAACCAGAGAUAAUACCGGAUAAUAUUAUGAACCGCAUGGUUCAAAAGUGAAAGACGCUCUUGCUGUCACUAAUAGAUGGUUCCGCGCUGCAUUAGCUAGUUGGUAAGGUAACGGCUUACCAAGGCAACGAUGCAUAGCCGACCUGAGAGGGUGAUCGGCCACACUGGAACUGAGACACGGUCCAGACUCCUACGGGAGGCAGCAGUAGGGAAUCUUCCGCAAUGGGCGAAAGCCUGACGGAGCAACGCCGCGUGAGUGAUGAAGGUCUUCGGAUCGUAAAACUCUGUUAUUAGGAAAGAACAUAUGUGUAAGUAACUGUGCACAUCUUGACGGUACCUAAUCAGAAAGCCACGGCUAACUACGUG
rnacentral:rRNA from 1 species